UGAAGACUGGCCAAUGUCUAGGCUCAUAAUCAACAUUAAACCCUUAGGAAUGAUGAAUUCCUGUAUUUCAAGUUCAAUUAUUUGCAUUAUGUACAUGUAAAAUUUGAAGAUAAUAAAUAUAAAUGACAUAUUUUACAUGCACUGGUUCCAUUCUGAGCACCAAUCACAUGGAUAUGAAAAUUCAUGAACAAGCUUUAUCAGCAAACAUUACCAAUUGGAGGACUGCCUUGUCUCUAGCUUGAAUACAUACUCCACCCCCAUCUUUGAGAGGUAUCAUCAUAUCCUGAACUUAAUGUGUUUUCAAAUUAAUUUUUACAUUCAAUAAAUUGUGUUAGUUUUACCCA
rnacentral:lncRNA from 1 species